GGAAUUAGCAGACUGGUUAGCAAACUAAUCAAGUUAGUAAACUAUCUUGCAAAAAUGUAUACCAGUAACAAACCAAUUAGCAAACCUGGCAACCCUUUCAGUUUGAAUAACUUUGAAAACAAGAACCAGAUUUUGGAAAGUUGAUCUAACCUUUUAAGACUUUCAAAAUCAUAGUGAAAAAUUUUUCUAAAAACUUGGAUUUCAAAAAUUAAGGGUUAAAAGAUAGAAUGCACAUGCACAAUCCCCUCUAAUCUUUUUACAAUAAACCUAGUGACUCAAAAC
rnacentral:misc_RNA from 1 species